rnacentral:rRNA from 1 species
GAUCAAGUAGGGAUACCCGCUGAACUUAAGCAUAUCAAA